CUCCUGUAGAGUACCAGUGAGCUCACUAUUUUUCUGAAUCCUGUUCUACACUGGGAGAAAAUUACACAUUAUUACAAUGAAACUAAUUUUACUUCUGAGUCAGACAGAAACACAUGCUCCACACACAAGGUCUUCAGAGCCUUAGAAGAAUAGUACAAACUCCUGCACAGAAUUUGGAAAGGACCCAAGAAAUGUAAGAAUGUCAAGACUUCAAGACUCAAGAUAUGGACAUUAACACAUUGAAGUACUAUUAACUGUUUUGUAGGUACAUAAAACUCCUUUAUUGCUCUGGCACUUUAAUAUUUCAAAACAGAAAAUGAGAUUACUCAGAGAAACUCAGAGAAAUAUUUUGCAAUAAUAAAGAGUUCAGUAG
rnacentral:lncRNA from 1 species